rnacentral:rRNA from 1 species
UUGAAAGGGAAACGAUUGAAGUCAGUCGUACCUGCGGGUAAUCAGCCUUUUGGGCAUGAUUCUGUGGAGCGUGAGGAGUUAAACGCCUUCAUGCCUGCAUAUUCGUGUACUUUGGGUGUACUUGCCUGUGUGGUUAGUUAACAUCAAUUUUGGUUAUCAUAAAAUGGCUGGAGGAAUGUAGCUUCGAUUUCGAUUGAAGGGUUAUAGGCCUUGGGCAGAGGGGAGGAUCGGGAUGAGGGAUGGCAACGGAUACCCUUGGGGGCUACCGGUCGGGUCUCGGAUGGUGGCUCGGGGGCGGAAAGGCGGGCUUACGGUUAUCAAAGUGGAGGGUCAAUAGGUUAGAACGGGUUAAAUUCGUUAAGGAGGUGGACGUA